rnacentral:sRNA from 12 species
UGGCAAGGAAGCGCUUGACUGGUUCGGUUACAGCUGAGUGUGGAGCCAGACCGUGGGUUAUGCGGAUACACCACAAGCCGAAUAGAUUCUUCGGAAUUGAAGGGAAACGAAAAAG